UACGGAGGGGGCAAGCGUUACUCGGAAUUAUUGGGCGUAAAGGGCGCGUAGGCGGUCUUGCGCGUCGGAGGUGAAAUCCCCGGGCUUAACCCGGGAGCUGCCUCCGAUACGGCAGGACUUGAGUCCGGGAGAGGAGAGCAGAAUUCCCAGUGUAGCGGUGAAAUGCGUAGAUAUUGGGAGGAAUACCAGUGGCGAAGGCGGCUCUCUGGACCGGUACUGACGCUGAGGCGCGAAAGCAUGGGGAGCAAACAGG
rnacentral:rRNA from 1 species